AUCUGUAUAUUCGGAUAUUCUACAAGUGACCUGUUUCAGCAGGAUUAUAUUUGUAGAUACGCAAAUAGUCAUAUGCUCGCUGAAUUCAGACAGUGUAUUAUUCCUUUUUUUUUUUUAUCAAUUUGAUUAAAAUUCAAAACUAACUAGCGUACUCGUGUAUAUAAGGAUUGCGAAAUCAGAUAUCUAUAUUUUAAUUAGAUUGCCUUAUAAUGCCG
rnacentral:lncRNA from 1 species